CCUUUUUGUUGUGUGGCCUGUGUGACAGGUCCCACAGCCUCUCCAGCCUCUGUGGGAAGAAGGAUCAUCUGAUGCCUAUGUAAUAGAGUUGCUGAAGGAGUGGAAGCAGCUUUGACAUUAUCAGUGGAACCCACCAGUGCAGACUGCUUCACCAAGGGCACCUGAGGCAGCAGAUCUGAGGAUUAGGGACGUAGGGAGCUGAAGCCUGGCUGGAGAGGUGGUGCGCACAAGAACCCCCACAUUCCCCGACAGGAGCCUGAAAAAGCAAGACGCCAUGUUGGGAGGACACGGAAGCAGUUCUAGGGAGAGGAGCACAUGGCAAGAAGCCAAGGCCUCCUGCCCACAGCCGAUACCCUGUGAUUGCCAGCAAGUAAACCAGAUGCAAUUGUGGUUUCCGUGAAGCACAGCUGGAAAACUGCUGCCCCCACGGAGGAAGAGGAAGAUGGGAAGAUGGUGGUUACUGCACACCAGGCACCAGCCUCGGGGCUAUGAGCUGUACAAACAUUACCCAUUUUAUCCUCGUGACCAUGUUCUGAGAAGGCUGUCAAUGAUCUCACUUUAUACAUGGGGAAAUUCAUGCAGACAGAGGCUGACUAAAUUGCCAUGGUCACUCAGCUAGUAGGAACUGGAGCUGUAACUUGAACCCGGGUCUUUUGUUUCUGUGGCUCCUGGUAGCACAUGCCGGGCUUGAAGUGAGAUCCGGAGGAUGUUGGAAACAACGUGUUCCCCAUCAUGAAAGUCCUUAUGAUACCUUAUGAUGCAGAGUUGGCAGCCAGGAGCAGGGGCUUCCAGAAGCAUGGCUGACCCUUGUUGGGAUCUCGCUCCUGUGAGCCUUGGAACGUCUAGGGAGAAAGAGCAGCCAAAUUUAGAGCUGCAGGAGCUUUGAGAUGCAGCUCAGGCAUCAUCUCUGGGAAGUCUUUCCUGGAACCACAGCCUGGGCCCUGUACCUGAUUCCCAGCCCCUGUGGCUCUUUUUGCAUUUGCUGCCUCUUUUCACAAUUCUGUCUCCUUAUGUCUUCCACUCUACACGCAAGCCCCUUGAGGGCAGGACCAUGACUCAGUCAUCCUGUACCCUAGCACCCACCCUGGGUCUGCAUCUGGAAGGAGCUCACUAAGUGAUUAUUGAGCCAAACUGAACUGUAGCAGGAGUGAGCAAAGCUAAUUCAUGGGUGCAGAAUGGGAGCACAGAGCUGCCAGAAUCCAGAGACAACUGUAACUGUCCCGGCACAGGGGGCUUCAGGCCGCGGUGAGAGCCACUGAAAGCAAGAGAGCCAGGUGGUGGCUCAGUUCACACUGAGUCCUGCUGAAGAAAUAGGCACAUCGUGUGUGUUAAAAUCAGCACCCCAUGCACCUGUAGGAAGAGACUGAGGCACCCUGGAGGCCCCUCCCAAUAAUUAAAAGGCCCUCUGGGGCCUGUGGGAGCCCUAGCUGAUGAAAUCACAAAGGCCUCAGCCUCUAAAGUGUUUCCAGUAAAAUGCUACCAGGAUUUUCCUCCCUUAAAUCUGGAUGAAAGGGCUGUCUGUGCUACAAAGUGCACACCUGGCGUUGAUACGCAGUCUCUUGCUGCCUGUUAACUAACCCACCAGCCGACAAGUUCUGCCCACUGGCAGGAGCAAGGACUUAUAAAAAAUAGUGCCUCCCUCCCAAGGGCUUAUGAGCUGGUUAAGUGCAGAGGACAAAUAGAAUGAAAGAAAAGGCAAUCUCGGCAUAGUAUUUAGUUAAUUCUUCUCUCUCUCUUGUUCCCUCUCUCUCCUUUCUCUCUUCCUCCCUCCUUUCUAUGACUUGUCCUCUCCACACAACUCCUUUUCCGUUUUCCCUCCCCUGCCUCCCCACCUUCUUUCUUGACUUCCCAUCUUGCUCCCUUUCUUCCUGCCUGCCCAUCUGCUUUCCUUUCUUAUCUCUGGUGCAAAUUCUGCAUAUAGUCGCUCUCCUCAUUUCAUGACAGGCUGUCUUCAUCAGUUUCUGAGUUCUUUUGUUAUUUUAUAAAAUAUUUUACAUGCUGUCCUCAAAAAAUCCCCUCCCCCAGAAAAGGCCCAUUCAAAAGUACUUACUAUACGUCCUUAGAUAGGCAAUGAUCUCUGAAAUAUAUAUAGGCUUGCUCUAUAUGUGUUUUUGUAAGUGUACUUUUCUUUCAUUAAAUAUGCAGAUCUUAAUUGUACAGUUUGAGGUGUUUUGACAAAGGUAUAUACCAGUAAAACCACCACCCCAACCAAGGUACCGAACACUUUCAUCUCUCUGGAAAGUCCCCUUGUGCCACCUUCCAGUCAACUCUCACCCUCCAGAGGCACCCACUGUUCAGAUUUCUACAUGCAUUUUGCCUGUUGCUGAACUGGAACCUCACAGCCUUUUACGUCUGGCUUCUUUCACUUAACAUAAUGUUUUUAAGUCAUCCAUGUAGUUCAUUCUUUUUUUUGUUGCAGAGCAAUAUUCCAUUGUGUGAAUGGAUGUACUUUAUCCAUCAACAGUUGAUGAAGUUGGGUUGGUGGCACUUUUUGGCUAUCGUGGGUAAUGCUGCUCUGGAUGUUUCUGCACAAGUCUUUAUUGUGGACAUGGGUUUCCAUUUCUUCUGGGCAAAUGCCCAGGAACAGAAUUGCUGAUUCAUUAGGAAGUUAUAUGUUUAACUUCAUAAGAAACUGGAAAACCGCACUCCACAGUGUUCAUGCUAUUGCACAUUGCCCCCAGUGCCAUGUGAAUGUUUCAUUCUUGGGGUCUAGAAUAUCUUACUGCAGUUUUAAUUGGAAGUUCUCUGAUGACUUUUGAUAGAGUAUCUUUUCAUGUGCUUAUUGGUUAUUUAUUUCUUCUUUAAAGAAGAGUCUAGAUCCUUUUCCCAUUUAAAAUUGCAUUGCUUCUAUUUUUACUGUUGAUUCUUAGAAGUUCUUUACAUAUUUUAGAUUUAUAUACAGUAAAUAUUUUCUCCCAGUCCAUGGCUUGCCUUUACCUUUUCUUAAUGGUGUCUUUUGAUUAACCAGACAUUUUAAAUUUUCAUGAAGCCUAUUGUAUCGGGGGUUGUUUUUGUUUGUUCAUUUAUGGUUAGUACUCUUUUUGGUGCUAGCCAGGAAAACUUUGCCUACAUUCUCCUAAGCUCAUGAAUAUAUUUUUCUAUAUUUGUUUCUAGGACAUUUAUAAUUCAAACUUUUAUGUUCUAGCCUAUCACUCAUGUAUAGUUAUGUAUAGUAUAAAUAAGGAUUGAAGUUCAUUUUUCUUUCCAUAUACUUAUCCAGUUAUUCCAGCACCAUUUGUUGAAAACACUUUCUUUCCCUCAUUGAAUUUCCUUGAAGCUUGUGCUCAUAACUUAUAUAACGAGUAUUGCGUUACAAUUUCCAUUAUAUUUCUUAAUUUUUCACUUAACACAAUGUUUAUAUGAUCUAUCCGCAAUGCUGUAUUCAGUCAUUUGAAUUCACUCAUUCAUUUUAUCAUUCAAUAAAUCUGCAGUGGUGAAGAAAACAGAA
rnacentral:lncRNA from 1 species